AUCUCCCGUUCGUGUCGAUGC
rnacentral:miRNA from 1 species